rnacentral:rRNA from 1 species
GACGAACGCUGGCGGCGUGCUUAACACAUGCAAGUCGAGCGGUAAGGCCCUUUCGGGGGUACACGAGCGGCGAACGGGUGAGUAACACGUGGGUGACCUGCCCUCAGCUCUGGGAUAAGCCUGGGAAACCGGGUCUAAUACCGGAUAUGACUCCAUGACGCAUGUUGUGGGGUGGAAAGCCUUGUGCGGCUGAGGAUGGGCCCGCGGCCUAUCAGCUUGUUGGUGGGGUGANGGCCUACCAAGGCGACGACGGGUAGCCGGCCUGAGAGGGCGACCGGCCACACUGGGACUGAGACACGGCCCAGACUCCUACGGGAGGCAGCAGUGGGGAAUCUUGCGCAAUGGGCGAAAGCCUGACGCAGCGACGCCGCGUGAGGGAUGACGGCC